rnacentral:rRNA from 1 species
AACGUAGGACGCAAGCGUUAUCCGGAGUUACUGGGCGUAAAGGGCAGGCAGGCGGGGCGAUAAGUCGGAUGUGAAAUCUCCCUGGCUUAACCGGGAGAGUGCAUUUGAGACUGUCAACCUGGAGGGCAGCAGAGGAGCGUGGAAUUCCGGGUGGAGUGGUGAAAUGCGUAGAGAUCCGGAGGAACACCAGAGGCGAAAGCGGCGCUCUGGGCUGCACCUGACGCUGAACUGCGAAAGCCAGGGGAGCGAACGGG